GACGAACGCUGGCGGCGUGCUUAACACAUGCAAGUCGAACGGAAAGGCCCUGCUUUUGUGGGGUGCUCGAGUGGCGAACGGGUGAGUAACACGUGAGUAACCUGCCCUUGACUUUGGGAUAACUUCAGGAAACUGGGGCUAAUACCGGAUAGGAGCUCCUGCUGCAUGGUGGGGGUUGGAAAGUUUCGGCGGUUGGGGAUGGACUCGCGGCUUAUCAGCUUGUUGGUGGGGUAGUGGCUUACCAAGGCUUUGACGAGUAGCCGGCCUGGGAGGGUGACCGGCCACAUUGGGACUGGGAUACGGCCCAGACUCCUACGGGAGGCAGCAGUGGGGAAUAUUGCACAAUGGACGGAAGCCUGAUGCAGCAACGCCGCGUGCGGGAUGACGGCCUUCGGGUUGUAAACCGCUUUCGCCUGUGACGAAGCGUGAGUGACGGUAAUGGGUAAAGAAGCACCGGCUAACUACGUG
rnacentral:rRNA from 1 species